CCGUGCUAAACGGGGAGGUAGCGGUGCCCUGUACCCGCAAUCCGCUAUAGCGGGGUUGAAUUCCCGACUCGAGGUUUUGUUUUGUCAGCGAGAGGGUGAGUAAGUGAUGGUGAUCUUCGGGUCCUAUGCGACGAGAGCUUCUGAACCGGGUCAGAUCCUGACGGAAGCAGCCAUAAGGAAUGUCUUUCGGGCGCCGUGGGGUAGCCUGGAGGGAGUUAACUGCUUACUUUCUCCUGGGAAGAUAAUUAUCGAAAGUUGGGUGCAUGG
rnacentral:SRP_RNA from 1 species